rnacentral:tRNA from 3 species
GGCGGGGUGGAGCAGUCUGGUAGCUCGUCGGGCUCAUAACCCGAAGGUCGUUGGUUCAAAUCCAGCCCCCGCAACCA